GGAAAGAUGAAAAGAACUUUGAAAAGAGAGUUAAACAGUACGUGAAAUUGUUGAAAGGGAAACGAUUGAAGUCAGUCAUAUCAAUAGGAAAUCAACCUUUUGAGCUUUGUCUCGUGAGUUCAAAGAGUUUUAAAUGCCUUUGGGUUCACGAGAUUGGAAUCUUCUGGUGUACUUUCUCGUACAGUUAGUGAACAUCAGUUUUGAAUGUCAUAAAAUGACUGGAGGAAUGUAACUUCAAACUCAUAUCGAAAUGUUAUAGCCUUUGGUAGAUGUGAUGUUUGAGACUGAGGAUUGCAACGAAUACCCUUCAUGGGCUAUUCGUCUGAUCUCUGAUAUGUUGCCUUGACAUUAAAAGCUUGCUUACAAUAUUAGAGUAUUACGAUCAAAAGGUUAGAAUAGAUUAAAUUCGUUAAGGAUGUUAACGUAAUAACUUUAAACGACCCGUCUUGAAACACGGACCA
rnacentral:rRNA from 2 species